GGGUCAGUCCCCAUCACGCCCUCAAAAUGAAAUCCCUCGUCUUGUGGCUGCUGGUGCUGGUGCUGAGUUUGGCUUACUUGAACGAGGCAUCGACGAAAGAAAACCCGAUGGAGUGUUCCGCCAAAAAUUACACACUUCAUCUGGGUUGCCAUGUGACUCUCUACCACACCGGCGAGAUGCCGGAAUCCUUGGGCUUAAACGUCGACAAGGAGGACCUGCUGAAAAAGACCUGCCACUGCCCACCCCCGAAAGUAGAGGGCUACUGCCUGUCCAUAAUUCGGAAUGCAAUCAAAGGCGGCGUUGACAAGUGUCCCAAGACCUCCACUUGAUCAGAUAAUUCAACAGCAGUGGCUUGUUAUUCAAGAUCAUAUGCACUUACUCAAAUCAAUACAGAAAGGUAUAUUUCACUAGACUUGUUAUUCACGAUAAUGUAUAAUUUAUCGUAGCAAUAUAAGAAAGUUUUUUCA